GGGCGAUUAGCUCAGUUGGCUAGAGCACCAGUCUUACAAACUGGGGGUCACAGGUUCGAAUCCUGUAUCGCCCA
rnacentral:tRNA from 1 species